GCUGGCAUAGCUCAGUCGGUAGAGCGCGCCCCUCGUAAGGGCGAGGUCGGGCGUUCGAUCCGUCCUGCCAGCACCA
rnacentral:tRNA from 1 species